rnacentral:rRNA from 1 species
AGCGAACGCUGGCGGCAGGCCUAACACAUGCAAGUCGAACGGACCCUUCGGGGUUAGUGGCGGACGGGUGAGUAACACGUGGGAACGUGCCUUUAGGUUCGGAAUAGCUCCUGGAAACGGGUGGUAAUGCCGAAUGUGCCCUUCGGGGGAAAGAUUUAUCGCCUUUAGAGCGGCCCGCGUCUGAUUAGCUAGUUGGUGAGGUAACGGCUCACCAAGGCGACGAUCAGUAGCUGGUCUGAGAGGAUGACCAGCCACACUGGGACUGAGACACGGCCCAGACUCCUACGGGAGGCAGCAGUGGGGAAUCUUGCGCAAUGGGCGAAAGCCUGACGCAGCCAUGCCGCGUGAAUGAUGAAGGUCUUAGGAUUGUAAAAUUCUUCCACCGGGGACGAUAAUGACGGUACCCGGAGAAGAAGCCCCGGCUAACUUCGUG